rnacentral:ncRNA from 2 species
UAGACCGAACACGGGUGCUCGCAAUCUAACGAGCUGAGACCCGCGCUAGAUACAACCCACCUCUGGGGCGCGGGAACCGUCCGAACCUGUCUGGUUAGAACCAGCGAAGGAAGUUGAAGGAGCUGAACC